GACGAACCGUCCAAACGUUAUUCGGAAUCACUGGGCUUAAAGGGCGCGUAGGCGGCCGAGCGGGUCACGGGUGAAAUCCUCCAGCUUAACUGGAGAACUGCCCUUGAUACCACUGCGGCUCGAGGAAGGAGGGGGUCAUGGGAACUGUCGGUGGAGCGGUGAAAUGCGUUGAUAUCGACAGGAACGCCGGUGGCGAAAGCGCAUGACUGGUCCUUUUCUGACGCUGAGGCGCGAAAGCCAGGGGAGCAAACGGG
rnacentral:rRNA from 1 species